GGGGGAUCUGUAACGAGGCACACGAGAAAGCAGGACGGGAAGCGGGAUGGCCAGCGUCCCACGGUGGCUGGCAAAGGCUCCGCUGAUGCGACACCAUGAACUACACAGCUUUGCUCUGCCGUACCUAGCCACCAUUGAUGUUUCUGCCUUGGAUGAAAUUGACCAUGGACUGAAAUUGACACUGUGAACAAAGAUUUGCUCUGCUGCACCCUUCCACCAUGAUGUUUUCCUGGCAGGCAGCUGACUAUGGAUUGAAUUCCCUUAAAAUGUGAGCCAAAUUAAA